CCUACGGGAGGCUGCAGUGGGGAAUAUUGGACAAUGGGCGAAAGCCUGAUCCAGCCAUGCCGCGUGUGUGAAGAAGGCCUUCGGGUUGUAAAGCACUUUCAGUGGGGAAGAAAGCCUUGGGGCUAAUACCCUCGAGGAAGGACAUCACCCACAGAAGAAGCACCGGCUAACUCCGUGCCAGCAGCCGCGGUAAUACGGAGGGUGCGAGCGUUAAUCGGAAUUACUGGGCGUAAAGCGCGCGUAGGCGGUCUGAUAAGCCGGUUGUGAAAGCCCCGGGCUCAACCUGGGAACGGCAUCCGGUACUGUCAGGCUAGAGUGCAGGAGAGGAAGGUAGAAUUCCCGGUGUAGCGGUGAAAUGCGUAGAGAUCGGGAGGAAUACCAGUGGCGAAGGCGGCCUUCUGGACUGACACUGACGCUGAGGUGCGAAAGCGUGGGUAGCAAACAGGAUUAGAUACCCCUGUAGUC
rnacentral:rRNA from 1 species